rnacentral:rRNA from 1 species
ACGAACGCUGGCGUGUGCCUAAUACAUGCAAGUCGAACGCUUCUUUUCCACCGGAGCUUGCUCCACCGGAAAAAGAGGAGUGGCGAACGGGUGAGUAACACGUGGGUAACCUGCCCAUCAGAAGGGGAUAACACUUGGAAACAGGUGCUAAUACCGUAUAACAAUCGAAACCGCAUGGUUUUGAUUUGAAAGGCGCUUUCGGGUGUCGCUGAUGGAUGGACCCGCGGUGCAUUAGCUAGUUGGUGAGGUAACGGCUCACCAAGGCCACGAUGCAUAGCCGACCUGAGAGGGUGAUCGGCCACAUUGGGACUGAGACACGGCCCAAACUCCUACGGGAGGCAGCAGUAGGGAAUCUUCGGCAAUGGACGAAAGUCUGACCGAGCAACGCCGCGUGAGUGAAGAAGGUUUUCGGAUCGUAAAACUCUGUUGUUAGAGAAGAACAAGGA